rnacentral:rRNA from 1 species
GACGAACGCUGGCGGCAUGCCUAACACAUGCAAGUCGAACGAAGGCUUCGGCCUUAGUGGCGCACGGGUGCGUAACGCGUGGGGAUCUGCCCUUUGCUUCGGAAUAACAGUUAGAAAUGACUGCUAAUACCGGAUGAUGUCGUAAGACCAAAGAUUUAUCGGCAAAGGAUGAACCCGCGUAGGAUUAGCUAGUUGGUGGGGUAAAGGCCUACCAAGGCGACGAUCCUUAGCUGGUCUGAGAGGAUGAUCAGCCACACUGGGACUGAGACACGGCCCAGACUCCUACGGGAGGCAGCAGUGGGGAAUAUUGGACAAUGGGCGAAAGCCUGAUCCAGCAAUGCCGCGUGAGUGAUGAAGGCCUUAGGGUUGUAAAGCUCUUUUACCCGGGAUGAUAGUGACAGUACCGGGAGAAUAAGCUCCGGCUAACUCCGUGCCAGCCGCCGCGGUAA